UGCAGUCGAACGAACUCUUCGGAGUUAGUGGCAGACGGGUGAGUAACGCGUGGGAACCUACCUUUAGGUACGGAACAACAGUUGGAAACGACUGCUAAUACCGUAUGUGCCCUAUGGGGGAAAGAUUUAUCGCCUAAGGAUGGGCCCGCGUUGGAUUAGCUAGUUGGUGGGGUAAAGGCCUACCAAGGCGACGAUCCAUAGCUGGUCUGAGAGGAUGAUCAGCCACACUGGGACUGAGACACGGCCCAGACUCCUACGGGAGGCAGCAGUGGGGAAUAUUGGACAAUGGGCGCAAGCCUGAUCCAGCCAUGCCGCGUGAGUGAUGAAGGCCCUAGGGUUGUAAAGCUCUUUCAGCGAGGAGGAUAAUGACGUUACUCGCAGAAGAAGCCCCGGCUAACUUCGUG
rnacentral:rRNA from 2 species